GUCUGACUGGCCCAGUGGUUAAGGCGUCCGCUUUACAGUGAAUUGCAUCAAGUGAAUUCUAGACCUGUCCGCGGAAGAUCACAGGUUCGAUCCCUGUGUUGGACA